rnacentral:rRNA from 1 species
CGAAGUAGCAAUACUUAGUGGCAGACGGGUGAGUAACAUGUGGGUAUCUACCCUUUGGCCUGGAAUAACACGAGGAAACUUGUGCUAAUACUGGAUAAGUCUUUACGGAGAAAGCUUUAUGCACCAUUGGAUGGGCCUGCACUUGAUUAGCUUGUUGGCAGGGUAAUGGCCUACCAAGACUGUGAUCAACAGCUGAUUUGAGAGGAUGAUCAGCCACAUUGGGACUGAGACACGGCCCAAACUC